UUUUUGUCCCCGCCGCCACGGCUCUGAGGGCGGGAGCGGCAGACUCGGCUGCCAGCUCUACUGGCGUCCUGGCAAGGGCAGCGCUGAGGGGUGCUCCUGGUCCAGCUCUCCUGGCUCAGGGAUUCCUUGCCUAGGCGCCGGCGCCCCAGGCUCCUUGCCUAGGCCCCUGUGGCCUGCAUAGAGUGGCGCUGCCUGUGGAGGCGAUGGGAGAGAAGAAGGAGGGCGGUGGUGGGGGUGAUGUGGCGGACACGGAGGGUGGCACAGGGGCUGCGGCCAGCCGGGCGCUGCAGCAGUGCGGGCAGCUCCAGAAGCUCAUCGUCAUCUUCAUUGGCAGCCUGUGCGGGCUGUGCACCAAGUGCGCUGUGUCCAACGACCUCACCCAGCAGGAGAUACAGACCCCGGAGAUUCUUUUCAAUAUACCCCAUCAUGGUUGAACUCAAAAAUCAUUGCUUAUUUAAAAUCUACAACUGCUGACGUUUUGUAACGUUCGCAUUCC
ensembl:lncRNA novel transcript